UGGGGAAUAUUGGACAAUGGGCGCAAGCCUGAUCCAGCCAUGCCGCGUGAGUGAUGAAGGCCUUAGGGUUGUAAAGCUCUUUCGGCGGGGAAGAUAAUGACGGUACCCGCAGAAGAAGCCCCGGCUAACUUCGUGCCAGCAGCCGCGGUAAUACGAAGGGGGCUAGCGUUGUUCGGAAUCACUGGGCGUAAAGCGCACGUAGGCGGAUUGUUAAGUCGGAGGUGAAAUCCCAGGGCUCAACCCUGGAACUGCCUUCGAUACUGGCUGUCUCGAGUCCGGGAGAGGUGAGUGGAACUGCGAGUGUAGAGGUGAAAUUCGUAGAUAUUCGCAAGAACACCAGUGGCGAAGGCGGCUCACUGGCCCGGUAUUGACGCUGAGGUGCGAAAGCGUGGGGAGCAAA
rnacentral:rRNA from 1 species